AGUGAACGCUGGCGGUAGGCCUAACACGUGCAAGUCGAACGGCAGCACAGUAAGAGCUUGCUCUUACGGGUGGCGAGUGGCGGACGGGUGAGGAAUACAUCGGACUCUACUUUUUCGUGGGGGAUAACGUAGGGAAACUUACGCUAAUACCGCAUACGACCUACGGGUGAAAGCAGGGGAUCUUCGGACCUUGCGCGAUUGAAUGAGCCGAUGUCGGAUUAGCUAGUUGGCGGGGUAAAGGCCCACCAAGGCGACGAUCCGUAGCUGGACUGAGAGGAUGAUCGCCCACACUGGAGCUGAGACACGGUCCAGACUCCUACGGGAGGCAGCAGUGGGGAAUAUUGGACAAUGGGCGCAAGCCUGAUCCAGCCAUACCGCGUGGGUGAAGAAGGCCUUCGGGUUGUAAAGCCCUUUUGUUGGGAAAGAAAAGCAGCAGGUUAAUACCCCGCUGUUCUGACGGUACCCAAAGAAUAAGCACCGGCUAACUUCGUG
rnacentral:rRNA from 1 species